UGAGGAAUAUUGGACAAUGGGCGAAAGCCUGAUCCAGCCAUGCCGCGUGCGGGAAGAAGGCCUUCGGGUUGUAAACCGCUUUAGUCUAGGAAAAAGGGGUGCGAGGAUAAUACCCUCGUGCUUUGAUGGUACUGGAAGAAUAAGCACCGGCUAACUACGUGCCAGCAGCCGCGGUAAUACGUAGGGUGCGAGCGUUAAUCGGAAUUACUGGGCGUAAAGCGUGCGCAGGCGGUCUUGUAAGACAGUCGUGAAAGCCCCGGGCUUAACCUGGGAACUGCGAUUGUGACUGCAAGGCUAGAGUGUGUCAGAGGGGAGUGGAAUUACACGUGUAGCAGUGAAAUGCGUAGAGAUAUAGAGGAACACCGAUGGCGAAGGCAGCCCCCUGGGAUAACACUGACGCUCAUGCACGAAAGCGUGGAGAGCAAACA
rnacentral:rRNA from 1 species